rnacentral:hammerhead_ribozyme from 1 species
AUCCUGCUGACCAGUUCAAAAUAGGACGAAACUCACGUCCUGGAU